rnacentral:rRNA from 1 species
UACGUAGGCAGCAAGCGUUGUUCGGAGUUACUGGGCGUAAAGGGUGUGUAGGCGGUUGUUUAAGUUUGGUGUGAAAUCUCCCGGCUCAACCGGGAGGGUGCGCCGAAUACUGAAUAACUAGAGUGCGGGAGAGGAAAGUGGAAUUCCUGGUGUAGCGAUGAAAUGCGUAGAUAUCAGGAGGAACACCGGUGGUGUAGACGGCUUUCUGGACCGUAACUGACGCUGAGACACGAAAGCGUGGGUAGCAAACAGG